UUUAAGUAUUAUAGUCGUGGGUUUCCAUAUCCAACGUUUAAACAUCCGUCUUAUUUUAAGAAAAAUGAAAAUAUUAAAAAAAUCACGCAUAAAGUACUAUUUAUGUUUUAUCAUCUAAUAACAAUAAAAAUAGUAAUCAUAAAAAAAAUCAAAUAAGAUGAACGAUCAAACGUUGAACACAGAAGCUCAAACUGCACUUAGA
rfam:Oryza glumipatula chromosome 12, whole genome shotgun sequence.